rnacentral:tRNA from 1 species
AGCGGGGUGGAGCAGUCUGGUAGCUCGUCGGGCUCAUAACCCGAAGGUCGUUGGUUCAAAUCCGGCCCCCGCAACCA